rnacentral:rRNA from 1 species
UGAUUAAAACAGAUUGAACGCUGGCGGGAUGCUUUACACAAGCAAGUCGAACGGCAGCACGGACUUCGGUCUGGUGGCGAGUGGCGAACGGGUGAGUAAUGUAUCGGAACGUGCCUAGUAGCGGGGGAUAACUACGCGAAAGCGUAGCUAUUACCACCUUGCGCCAUCAGGGGAAAGCAGAGGGAGCCUUCGGGCCUCGCACUCAUGGAAGCAGCCGAUAUCGAAUUAGCUAGUUGGUGGGGUAACGGCUCACCAAGGCGACAAAUCCGUAAGCUGGUUUGAGAGGACGACCAGCCACACUGGGACUGAGACACGGCCCAGACUCCUACAGGAGGCAGCAGUGGGGAAUUUUGGACAAUGGAAACCCUGAUCCAGCCAUCCCGCGUGUGCGAUGAAGGCCUUCGGGUUGUAAGCACUUUUUUGGCGGGAAAGAAACGGCACGGGGAUAAUACCCCGUGCAACUGACAGCCUGCAGAAUAAGCACCGGCUAACUACGUGCCAGCAACCGCGGUAAUACGUAGGGUGCAAGCGUUAAUCGGAAUUACUGGGCAUAAAGCGUGCGCAGGCGGUUCGGAAGAAAGAUGUGAAAUCCCAGAGCUUAACUUUGGAACUGCAUUUUUAACUACCGAGCUGAGUGUGUCAGAGGGAGGUGGAAUUCCGCGAUGUAGCAGUGAAAUGCGUAGAUAUGCGGAGGAACACCGAUGGCGAAGGCAGCCUCACCAGGAUAACUUACUGACGCUCAUGCAGCGUAAAGACAACUUGGGAUUAGAUACCACUGACGAUCCGCCUAAACGAUGUCAACUAGCUGUUGGGGCCUUCGCAGGCCUUGGUAGCGCAGCUAACGCGUGAAGUUGACCGCAUAGAGUACGGUCAUGGGAAUUAAAACUCAAAGGAAUUGACGAGGACCCACAAGCGGUGGAUGAUGUGGAUUAACAAUUGAUACAACGCGAAAAACCUUACCUACCCUUGACAUGUCUGGAAUCCCGAAGAGAUUUGGGAGUGCUCGCAAGAGAACCGGAACACAGGUGCUGCAUGGCUGUCGUCAGCUCGUGUCGUGAGAUGUUGGGUUAAGUCCCGCAGCAGGCGCAACCCUUGUCAUUAGUUGCUACGAAGGGCACUCUAAUGAAACGGUGACAAGCCGGAGGGAAGGUGGGGAUGACGUCAAGUCCUCAUGGCCCUGUAUGGGUAGGGCUUCACCACGUCAUACAAUGGUGGGACAGAGGGUCGCCAACCCGCGAGGGGAAUAAUCCGAAACCCGAUCGUGAUCCGGAUCGCAGUCUGCAACUCAAGCUGCGUGAAGUCGGAGUCGCUAGUAAUCGCGGAUCAGCAUGUCGCGGUGAAUGCGUUCCAGGUCUUGUACACACCGCCCGUCACACCAUGGGGUGGGUUUUACCGUGGAUUAGCCUAACCGUAAGGAGGGCGAUUACCACGGUAAGUUCAUGACUGGGGUGAAGUCGUAGCAGGUAA